UUGAUAUCACUGCUGACAUCCACUUGCACGGCCCCUCCUCUCGCGCUCUCGCUCUCUCUCUCCCUCUCGCCCCUCUGAAUCUCUGCUGUUGGAGAGCUCUCUGGCAGACAGUGCGCAGUCCUGCCUCGUCUUCAGUUGUCUGUAGUGCAGCGGAGCAGGUGGAGAAGGAAAAGAAACGGGGGAGACAGAGGGGAGAGCAGAGUAUGGCAGACAGCUGGAGAAGGAACUGUUAUCCAUGUGAAUAAUGGAAGAUGGCUGACUUAUACGCUGGGAUAUUUAUUCAAAGAACAGUAGAAAAACUGAUGCCUCAGUGUGUCGGACAGUUGCAGGCGUUUACUGGAAUCAUAAGCAGUGUUUUGACAAUACAGACUAUUGUGAAAUCAUCACUGGGAGAAAGUGCUGCGAGCCUCCUCUGUAUGUCGGAGCACUGGUGUGUCACCCUAAAGAAGCUAUCAGGAAAAACAGAACCUUGAGGAGCAAACAUUCAUAUCUUAAGUGACACAUGCAAGCCAACUUUCCUGUGCUUGUCUUCUCUAAAAAUUCUGCACAAUACAGUGUGCGCUUUGUGGAAGGGAACACUCCACUUUGAUGUUCAUAUUACAUAUUAAUUUUAUCCCACAAUAAUUACCAUAAUUAACUAUAUGAUGGAGAUAUAUGUUAAGUUCUUCUGUGGACAUCACCUCCUAUAGAUUCAUGCUUUCUAAAUAAAUAUGCUGCUGCUU